GUUUAUCGGAGGUUCGUAAAAUAUUUAUGUAGUUUUAAUUUCAAAAAAAGCUUUAAAAACAUUUUUGAAACAGAUAGUAAAGGAGAAGAUUGAUUGGGUGCGUAUGAAGCAAUUGCAUAAAAAGCAGCAUGCAUAGUUCACAAAGUAUGUACAUAUAACAAUAUAUUUUAGUAGUACAAAAGUACUGGGCUGGGCUGAUAUUCGAGAAAUUUAAAAAUCGCAUUAACAAGCUGUUCUUACAAUGAAUCUGAUAUUUGCUUUAAUAAAGAUUUUUUUGUUAGAUUUUCUAUAUUUUUUACUGAUUUGUUUCGGAAUAUUUGAAUUUUACAUUUUUUUUUUUAUAUUUGUCUUGCAAAAUAAUGGAAAACUGCAAUAUAUACUUGUUUCGUGAAUAUACACUCUUUAUUAAUGCAAAAAUUUUCAAAACCAUCCACCGAAUAAAUUAAUUCUAUACAAUUCCAGGAAUUUGUUACAAACUAGCUGGUCUUCUAUAAUACAUCAUUAGAAAUCUAUUUUAUGAUACACAUGCGAGUGGUGUGCUUUCGGCCUUAAGUUGUGUUCAUAUUAAUAUUUGAGUUGGGACGGAUAUGUUAGUUUACGCAUUCAAAUGGUUUUAUAUACGCUGAGAAAGCAAAUCUCUUUAGGGUCAUGUAUAUUUACAAAUAUUUAUGAGAACUCUGAUACAUUGUGGAAGUUAUUUACAUUUACUGGGAGGAUUAGUAUUUCUAGGAUAAAUUUCAAAUGAUAUAUUCAAUAAUUUUCCGUGAAGGCAAAGAAUAUGUGUAUAUCGAUUUUUGGAUUAGAUACAUUUGACCGGUGUUUGCAUAUUUCGUAUAUAUGUAUGACGACAUAUAUGUUCGUAAGUUGGGAUUGUUAUUAGGAGAACCAUUUAAGUAGAUGAUGGGUCAAAUAUAAUAUCGUAUUUUGGUGUGAUAUUUGUGCUUGUCCGUUCAUAACGAAUUGAAUCGAGUGAACCCUUAGUACCUGUGGUCAUAAUCUCAUUUGUAACAUAUUUAAAUAUCCUGUAUUUAUAUUUACAUUGUUUAUUCUGCCGCGAGUCUUGGUUGUAGGGAACUAGAGUAUAGCAGAAAUGAGACUAGUUUAAUAUUAGGAUCAAUUUACGCGUAUAAAUCGUUCGUGGGCAAAUAUAGAUUUUAGCCUCUCGACGAGAUUUAUUUUAUUUAUGAAAAGAGGAAGAGGAUUUUACAUCAAUAUGAUAAUUGACAUAGGCUGUAAAACUCGAAGUACCAUACCAUCGCUUACCUAAAGUGAACAAAUUCCCCAAAUUUUCUCACAUUAAAUAUAAGUUGAGGCAAAAAUAUUUAUUUUUGAGUAUAAAACAAAUUUCAUAAUACAUUUUUCAAAACUAUAAAAAAUAUUAAUAAUUUUAAG